rnacentral:rRNA from 1 species
AUUGAACGCUGGCGGCAGGCCUAACACAUGCAAGUCGAGCGGAUGAAGGGUUCUUUCUCCUGGAUUCAGCUGCGGACUGGUGUGUAAUUCCUAUGAAUCUGCCUUGUAUUUGUUUAUUACGUCCUGAAACGGGCUCUAAUACCUCAUACGUCCUUCGGUUGAUAGUUGGUGAUCUUCGUACCUCUCCCUAUCUUUUUUGCCUAGGUCGGAUUAGCUAGUUGGUUGGGUAAAGGCCUACCAAGGCGACGAUCCGUAACUGGUCUGAGAGGAUGAUCAGUCACACGGGAAGUGAGACACGGACAAGACUACUACGGGAGGAAGAAGUGGGGAAUAUGGGACAAUGGGGGAAAGCAUGAAACAGCAAGGCCGCGUGUGAGAAGAAGGUAUUCGGAUUGUAAAGCACUUUAAGUUGGGAGGAAGGGAAGUAAGUUAAUAACUUGCUGGUUUGACGUUAACAAAAGAAAAAGCACCGGCUAACUACGUG